rnacentral:rRNA from 1 species
CGAAUAGGGGAGCCGAAGGGAAACCGAGUCUUAACUGGGCGUUAAGUUGCAGGGUAUAGACCCGAAACCCGGUGAUCUAGCCAUGGGCAGGUUGAAGGUUGGGUAACACUAACUGGAGGACCGAACCGACUAAUGUUGAAAAAUUAGCGGAUGACUUGUGGCUGGGGGUGAAAGGCCAAUCAAACCGGGAGAUAGCUGGUUCUCCCCGAAAGCUAUUUAGGUAGCGCCUCGUGAAUUCAUCUCCGGGGGUAGAGCACUGUUUCGGCAAGGGGGUCAUCCCGACUUACCAACCCGAUGCAAACUGCGAAUACCGGAGAAUGUUAUCACGGGAGACACACGGCGGGUGCUAACGUCCGUCGUGAAGAGGGAAACAACCCAGACCGCCAGCUAAGGUCCCAAAGUCAUGGUUAAGUGGGAAACGAUGUGGGAAGGCCCAGACAGCCAGGAUGUUGGCUUAGAAGCAGCCAUCAUUUAAAGAAAGCGUAAUAGCUCACUGGUCGAGUCGGCCUGCGCGGAAGAUGUAACGGGGCUAAACCAUGCACCGAAGCUGCGGCAGCGACGCUGAUGCGUUGUUGGGUAGGGGAGCGUUCUGUAAGCCUGUGAAGGUGUGCUGUGAGGCAUGCUGGAGGUAUCAGAAGUGCGAAUGCUGACAUAAGUAACGAUAAAGCGGGUGAAAAGCCCGCUCGCCGGAAGACCAAGGGUUCCUGUCCAACGUUAAUCGGGGCAGGGUGAGUCGACCCCUAAGGCGAGGCCGAAAGGCGUAGUCGAUGGGAAACAGGUUAAUAUUCCUGUACUUGGUGUUACUGCGAAGGGGGGACGGAGAAGGCUAUGUUGGCCGGGCGACGGUUGUCCCGGUUUAAGCGUGUAGGCUGGUUUUCCAGGCAAAUCCGGAAAAUCAAGGCUGAGGCGUGAUGACGAGGCACUACGGUGCUGAAGCAACAAAUGCCCUGCUUCCAGGAAAAGCCUCUAAGCAUCAGGUAACAUCAAAUCGUACCCCAAACCGACACAGGUGGUCAGGUAGAGAAUACCAAGGCGCUUGAGAGAACUCGGGUGAAGGAACUAGGCAAAAUGGUGCCGUAACUUCGGGAGAAGG